UUUCCGUAGGUGAACCUGCGUAAGGAUCAUUACAGAGUUCAUGCCCUCACGGGUAGAUCUCCCACCCUUGAAUAUUUAUACCUUAGUUGCUUUGGCAGGCCGUGGAAACACCAUGGGCUCCGGCUUAUGCGUGCCUGCCAGAGGAAACAAACUCUGUUUUUAGUGAUGUCUGAGUACUAUAUAAUAGUUAAAACUUUCAACAACGGAUCUCUUGGUUCUG
rnacentral:misc_RNA from 1 species